UACGUAGGGUGCAAGCGUUGAUCGGAAUUACUGGGCGUAAAGCGUACGCAGGCGGCUAUGUAAGACAGGUGUGAAAUCCCCGGGCCUAACCUGGGAACUGCAUUUGUGACUGCAUAGCUAGAGUCCGUCAGAGGGGGGUGGAAUUCCACGUGUAGCAGUGAAAUGCGUAGAGAUGUGGAGGAACACCGAUGGCGAAGGCAGCCCCCUGGGAUGAGACUGACGCUCAUGUACGAAAGCGUGGGGAGCAAACAGG
rnacentral:rRNA from 1 species